GAUCAUUUCUUUUCCUCCUUAAGCCAUUUUGUUAUUUUUCUUUAAACGGAAACCAUUUGUUACUCUCUCUAAAGAAAGUCUCCAGUUUCCCUCAGGCUUUCUGAAGAAUCAGAAAAAUUAUGGAAGACAAAGUGACGGUGUGUUCAACACCUCCUGCUGCUCAGGUGCUGGGUGGCAUCUCUUUCGACACUGGGGUCAGCAGCCUCCCAUCAUUUCUCAGUCAGCGGCCACCCCAAAGGACAGCCUGAUCACUCAGGGGGGUCGGCCGGCGCCCAGGGAGAGCCGCACUUACCCCCAGUCAGCUCCAGUCCUCUCAGUCCAGGGGCCUUCCUGUGACAGGCAGGAUGGCGCCUUCUACAGCUUCUGUGGCUUUAGGCUUCUCCCCUCUCCCUUUAUGGGAUCCAGGGUUUAAAAGUAAACAAUUCUUUCUCUUUCUGAUAAGUCGCAUUAUUUAUCGAUUCAGUGGGGGAGGGAGGGCACGACCUUAGGCCACUAAGUCAGCAUCACCUUUGGUCAAACAGACUCAGCAAGAUUGGAAAGUCCAUUCCUCUGCUGAGUGGGGGCGUGCGGCCAGCAGGCAGCCAUGGAGGCCACCGAGGCAGAACAGGCAGGUCAACUGGCUGCAGACUUCGUCAAAUGGAAAAAAAGAAAUUGAUAAUUUCCAAUGAAGAAUGUCAAACUUUUGCCAUGAGGAAUGCUGAAGUUUGGGGACUGGGGAUCCUGGGUCUCAUUCAAGACUCUUUGCCAUUUGGAUUUUUGCCUUUGGACAAAAAUAACUUCAUAUUUCUGAGGCUUUAGUUUGCUCUCUGUGUAGUAAAGCUGAGAAUACUUGCUCGUCAUUUGCUCUGAAACCUCAAGUGACACUAGAGAUGAAUUCAUCUUUAAUCGUGAAUAGCUCAGUUAACUGAGGCAAGAGAGUCCCUUGAGCCCAGGAAUUUGACUGCAGCCUGGACAACAUAGCGAGGCCACUAUCUCUAAAAAUAAGAAAAAAGUAAAUAGAAAAAAAAAGUUGGAUAUAGAGAAAUGACAAAGGGCAUGGGCUGUACGGACUAACUGGUUAUUUACUCUACCAGUAAAGAGAACAAAGAAGGUUAAUCUGCCAUGUGCAGGGACCAGGCCAAGCCCAGCGGGGCUGGAAGGAAGCUGGGUUGCUGCAGCCUCAGAUUUGUUAUUAAGAGAAUCAAAAUCACUUUCAACUCAAGGUCACAAGUCAGGACCCAAGUGAAAAUGGAAUGUUGACAGCGAGUCCUGGUUUCAUCUCUGCAUUCACACACGCAUCACCUUCUCCCACGAAAGUUCCUCUUCUUACGGCCGGAAACACGUCCAGAACACUGGUGGUGCGGAGGGGCAGGGGCUUGAUGGUAGUGAUCAUGGGAGAGAGCCAUCACGUGAAUAAGCCGCGCCUGCUCUUAGAAGGCAGCUGAAAAUAAAUUGUGCACAUGGUGA